UGGCGGCGUGCCUAACACAUGCAAGUCGAGCGAGGAGAUCCUCGGGAUGAUCCUAGCGGCGGACGGGUGAGUAACACGUGGGCAACCUGCCUCAUAGAGAGGAAUAGCCUUCCGAAAGGGAGAUUAAUACCUCAUAACAUUGCAGUUUCGCAUGGAACAGCAAUUAAAGGAGUAAUCCGCUAUGAGAUGGGCCCGCGGCGCAUUAGGCUAGUUGGUGAGGUAAUGGCUCACCAAGGCGACGAUGCGUAGCCGACCUGAGAGGGUGAUCGGCCACAUUGGGACUGAGACACGGCCCAGACUCCUACGGGAGGCAGCAGUGGGGAAUAUUGCACAAUGGGGGAAACCCUGAUGCAAGCAACGCCGCGUGAGUGAUGACGGCCUUCGGGUUGUAAAGCUCUGUCUUCAGGGACGAUAAUGACGGUACCUGAGGAGGAAGCCACGGCUAACUACGUGCCAGCAGCGGC
rnacentral:rRNA from 1 species